CUAACCGGUACUAGUAGGUGGACCUGAUGAAGUGGACAUUCUGGGGAUAAAACACCAGCUUCUUCAUGAACUGAACGUUUCCUCUGGACUUUCCUCAGAAAUCUGAGAUGACCUCUGAGUAACCCGGACCGUGCCAGUGAAACGGGACUCCUGUUCCUGGACCUGAGGAAGAGGAGGGGAUGCUCUGAUUG